rnacentral:rRNA from 1 species
UUGUAGCAAUACAAGGCAGACGGCUCAGUAACACGUAGUCAAUCUACCCUAUGGACGGGGAUAACCUCGGGAAACUGAGGAUAACACCCGAUAGAUCAUAAUUCCUGGAACGGUUUAUGGUCCAAACGAUUCGUCGCCAUAGGAUGGGACUGCGGCCUAUCAGCUUGUUGGUGAGGUAAUGGCCCACCAAGGCUAUUACAGGUACGGGCUCUGAGAGGAGAAGCCCGGAGAUGGGUACUGAGACACGGACCCAGGCCCUAUGGGGCGCAGCAGGCGAGAAACCUUUGCAAUGUGCGCAAGCACGACAAGGUUAAUCCGAGUGUUUCCUGCUUAAGGAAUCUUUUGUUAGUUGUAAAACCACUAUCGAAUAAGGGGUGGGCAAGUUCUGGUGUCAGCCGCCGCGGUAAAACCAGCACCUCAAGUGGUCAGGAGGAUUAUUGGGCCUAAAGCAUCCGUAGCCUGUUCUGUAAGUUUUCGGUUAAAUCCAUUAGCUCAACUAAUGGGCCGCCGAAAAUACUGUAGAACUAGGGAGUGGGAGAGGUAGACGGUAUUCGGUAGGAAGGGGUAAAAUCCUUUGAUCUAUUGAGGACCACCUGUGGCGAAGGCNGUCUACCAGAACACGUUCCGACGGUGAGGGAUGAAAGCUGGUGGAGCAAACCCGGAUUAGAUACCCGGUAGUCCNAGCCUGUUAACGAUGCAUACUCGGUGAUGCCCUGGUUGUGGCCAGUGCAUUGCCGCAGGGAAUCCGUUAA